AGCCCCAGCCCCGGGAGUCCCAGGUGUUCCCAUUCUGUGAUCAGGACAGAACACAGAAACCUCACCAUGGAGUUUGUUCUGGGCUGGGUUUUCCUGGUUGCUCUUUUAAAAGGUGUCCUGUGUGACGUGGAGCUGGUGGAGUCUGGAGGAGACCUGGUGAAGCCUGGAGGGUCCCUGAGACUCACCUGUGUAGCCUCUGGAUUCACCUUCAGUAGCAACUACAUGAGCUGGGUCCGCCAGGCUCCAGGGAAGGGGCUGCAGUGGGUCGCAUAUAUUAGUAAUAGUGGAGGCAGCACAUACUACGCAGACUCCGUGAAGGGCCGAUUCACCAUCUCCAGAGACAACUCCAAGAACACGCUGUAUCUGCAGAUGAACAACCUGAAAACUGAGGACACGGCCAUAUAUUAGUGU